rnacentral:rRNA from 1 species
AGUGAACGCUGGCGGUAGGCCUACACAUGCAAGUCGAACGGCAGCACAGUAAGAGCUUGCUCUUACGGGUGGCGAGUGGCGGACGGGUGAGGAAUACAUCGGAAUCUACUUUUUCGUGGGGGAUAACGUAGGGAAACUUACGCUAAUACCGCAUACGACCUACGGGUGAAAGCAGGGGAUCUUCGGACCUUGCGCGAUUGAAUGAGCCGAUGUCGGAUUAGCUGGUUGGCGGGGUAAAGGCCCACCAAGGCGACGAUCCGUAGCUGGUCUGAGAGGAUGAUCAGCCACACUGGAACUGAGACACGGUCCAGACUCCUACGGGAGGCAGCAGUGGGGAAUAUUGGACAAUGGGCGCAAGCCUGAUCCAGCCAUACCGCGUGGGUGAAGAAGGCCUUCGGGUUGUAAAGCCCUUUUGUUGGGAAAGAAAAGCAGCAGGUUAAUACCCCGCUGUUCUGACGGUACCCAAAGAAUAAGCACCGGCUAACUUCGUG